CUAGACUCGCUUUUUCACACAGCCUCGACCUUCUGUGUCGCCCCGUCAUGUUGCAUCAGGAUCCCCGGCUUUCAAGUCUUGACAUCUCUAACAGAUGUAACAGAAGAUCAUGGUAGGGUAUCAUGUCAGGUCCUGUGGCUCCCUGCCUUAGGAGGUUACCUGAAGGUGAAGCUUAAGAACAACAGGAAAUAAACUUUUCUAAUUCAAAUGUGCAUCAAGUAAGACAAUGAGAAAACAAAUGAUUGUGCAUCUAUUUUGCCUAAAAAAUAGCUCAUCCGGCUUCAGGAAGAGGGACACAUAACUCCACAGGCUCCUGAAGACUGAAAUAUCUUCAAGAUCCAAAAGAAUAAACUGCAACGGUAGAGAGAAAGUUUAGCGUUUCCUGAAUAAGAAGUCAUGUGGCUGUGCAUUUUUACUGAAACAGGUAGCUUUUUCCAGCAGUUUGGAGCUACAACCCAGAAAGAUUUUCUUCUGCUGUCAGUUUUGGCUCUAGGCAUUUCAAAAUUAAUAGACUGGGUCGAGUGAAGGGCAUAUUUGCAGACUGUGUUGGAUAAAAGUGAACAUAAAUACAUAAAUAUGCUGCUACCAAAUGACUACAAGAAGACAUUUAAAAGGAGAUGGAAUUUUUUAAAAUCCUGGGACAAUAAAGUAA